GACGAACGCUGGCGGCGUGCUUAACACAUGCAAGUCGAACGAAGAGCGAUGGAAGCUUGCUUCUAUCAAUCUUAGUGGCGAACGGGUGAGUAACGCGUAAUCAACCUGCCCUUCAGAGGGGGACAACAGUUGGAAACGACUGCUAAUACCGCAUACGAUCUAACCUCGGCAUCGAGGAUGGAUGAAAGGUGGCCUCUAUUUAUAAGCUAUCACUGAAGGAGGGGAUUGCGUCUGAUUAGCUAGUUGGAGGGGUAACGGCCCACCAAGGCGAUGAUCAGUAGACGGUCUGAGAGGAUGAACGGCCACAUUGGGACUGAGACACGGCCCAGACUCCUACGGGAGGCAGCAGUGGGGAAUCUUCCGCAAUGGACGAAAGUCUGACGGAGCAACGCCGCGUGAGUGAUGACGGCCUUCGGGUUGUAAAGCUCUGUUAAUCGGGACGAAAGGCCUUCUUGCGAAUAGUUAGAAGGAUUGACGGUACCGGAAUAGAAAGCCACGGCUAACUACGUG
rnacentral:rRNA from 1 species